GGAAGGGUGGCGGAGUGGUUGAACGCGGCGGUCUUGAAAACCGCUGUGGGCCUCGGGCCCACCGUGGGUUCGAAUCCCACCCCUUCCG
rnacentral:tRNA from 1 species